UAGAAAAAGUAAUGCAGGGAAGCAUAAAGCUGAUCAUUAGGGAAGGGUCGUUGUGCUUUGGGCAUGCCGUGUGACAAUGGUGGUGUGUUGGUGUUUGCCACCACUUUGCACAUGCUGGUACCCUGGCGAAGGGACCAACGCUGGUGGAAAUGCACAGGGGUCGACCUAUUUAAGCCCACGGCGCCCGGCAUCGAUCGUCCAGAAUCGUUUGAACCAUCGUGCAGUAAAGUUCUCUUCAGCCAGGAGCCACUGGCACACACAAGCGUGCCUGAUGCGACUUUCGAAUCAGUGCCAAGCCGAGCCAAGACUCUGUUGGAGUCUACAGUGUGUGCAGUAUGUGUGACAAGCAAGAGAGGCUAACGAUAACCCACACAAGUAUUGAACGAAAGUUGAGUGAAAGUGCUAACAGUUGAUGAAACUAUUCGUCGAUCGCCGAUAUGUGGAAAAAGGAUUUUCCUUAAACUCUUCUACUGGAUAUGGAUUGUCUGUGCAUAUGAAGAACAACCAGAUCCUUUUCAACGUUGUCACCAUGAAUGGAAAUAUCUUUAAACAGUGCAGUAUGAUCAUGUUUGGCCCAGCACCACACCAACUUGAGCACGAUAACAGUAAUCGUUCCUCACACGGUCGCACUAGAUCGCAUUAGUGAAGAUCCGAAGAUAGAUCCUUGAAUCAAAGGAUAUUCGGAGAGUAAUACAAAACGCAAUUCAAAAUGGCUACUGGAACCAGAAAAACCCGCUACCACUUCAAGGAACACAGUGUACGGACAGAGCAUGACGGUAUAAGUCGUGGGAAAGAUGUUAGAAAAAUCAUAACAUGACGUGACUGUUUCCUUAAGAUACACUCUCUGACCCGUCACCGUCUAACAGUAAAAGUGGAAAGGAUGGACACAACAGACUGCAGCUGCUACUGGAACGCUUCAAGCGCAAGCCACUUGGCCAUCGCCAUAAAAGCUUUGAAGACUGCCCACAUCUUCGGUACCUUGGAUUUCUACAGUACACAAAGCGCUUUCAGGAAGGUUUAAAUUCAACAGUGCUUAUCGCAUCAGGAUCAAUUUUUAAAUUCUUUUUCCGCCAUGUUUCGAUGCCGACUUUGUGCCUUUUUUAAAUCCUCUAUUCAAAACACAUUUAUCAAGAGCAGAAGCAGAGUAUCAUCGUUAAGUUUGAGUUGGAGCAUCAUGUUUCGUUCGCCGCCAUUUCCUGUUGAUUUGACUGUUGUUGAUUGUUGUUGGCUAAUUGUAAUUGUUCCAUCAUUAUUAGGGUUUUCUCACGUACGUUGGUUGUUCAAUUGUUAUGCUAUGCAUGAUAGCGAGCUUCGUUAAUCUUCAUUGCACUAAUUGCUUUUUUUCUUUUUUUUACAGUUUUGUAAAAAAAAAGAUUAAAAACCAAUUACUUUUCCAACUUUUCCAUCCCUGAAAUACCACUUGGAACUUGUUACAUUAACGUCCGUUAUACCGUUACUUCCGUUAUCAAACGUUACUUCUUGUUUGUGUUAUUUCGUGCUGUUAACUUCUUCAUUGUUUUGUUACUUUCAUUCAGUUACCGGUUAGUUCAGUUAUAACAAACUUUUGUUUCGUUAAAUAUUUCGUAGAAAGCAACACAAAAAGCAACUCCCACUAUCCCGUCGUUUUCGUUUCGUUUGCUCUCGAUGUACCUGUUUGGUUAUGUUUAUCCUUUCUUUUCCGUUUUUGUUUCGCAUUAAUCGCAAUUGUUACUGUUUAUGUUACAAUGGACAUAGUUUUUGUUGUUGAUGUUGUUGUUGUUAUUGUUGAUCCUCCUCCAAACCCCGCUUUUUCCUUUCUUGUUUCACUCAUUUUGUUUUCUGUUUUACUGAGUUUUUGUUCUGUUUUACCUUUCUGUUUUCAAAAUUUCACAAAGAUGCUCUAACAACUCUGCUUCUCGCUGUCUUUAUGCUCUGCUCCAGUACAAAUUGAACCAUUUUCUUUUUCAAUAUUGUGUUACCCUUCCGGCUGAAUUUUCACAACAUGAAGCACAAUAGACAAUGUCCACUAACCGCGCUAACAAAUCCUUCAGGCAGCAUAAUCACAAGGGUGAACUUAAAAGUAACUCUGUAUGAUAUACGUAAAAAUUUUGCGAACAGCAAAACAUUUAUUAUUUUCAAAGUUUAUGAACUGUUAACUAGUUUUAAGAAAUACACGUUAAUUACCACAGAGAUUCCACAUAGAAGCAGCCAUACAGUCAAAGCAACGAAUUGAAAAAGAAAAAUCACAAAUUCCACCUCGAAUUCCGCAAGUCCAAUAAGAAAAAAUCAACACAUGCCACAUUCCUCUGGUAAUAUACAAAUACCGACAUGGUUACCGGUUCAAAAACGCAAAAUAAAUGCAUAAUUAAC